GAUGAACGCUGGCGGCGUGCUUAACACAUGCAAGUCGAACGGAAAGGCCCUGCUUGCAGGGUACUCGAGUGGCGAACGGGUGAGUAACACGUGGGUGAUCUGCCCUGUACUUUGGGAUAAGCCUGGGAAACUGGGUCUAAUACCGAAUAUGACAAUUGUUUGGAUGCGAUUGUGGAAAGCUUUUGCGGUAUGGGAUGAGCUCGCGGCCUAUCAGCUUGUUGGUGGGGUAAUGGCCUACCAAGGCGUCGACGGGUAGCCGGCCUGAGAGGGUGUACGGCCACAUUGGGACUGAGAUACGGCCCAGACUCCCACGGGAGGCAGCAGUGGGGAAUAUUGCACAAUGGGCGCAAGCCUGAUGCAGCGACGCCGCGUGGGGGAUGACGGCCUUCGGGUUGUAAACUCCUUUCGCAACCGACGAAGCCUUUUGGUGACGGUAGGUUGAGAAGAAGCACCGGCUAACUACGUG
rnacentral:rRNA from 1 species